UUUUAUGGAACUUCUUGGGUCACCAUUGGGUCAUGUAGAGUUGCACAAAGUUCUCAAGAUCUCAAGUUGAGCCAAGCUCAAAACUUGGGAAAGUCAUGCAUUUGAAUAACAAUUUCUACAGUUUCCUAGCUGUAGGGUUGAGGGAGAGAUGUCAACCAGAAAAUUAAAUUUUUCCAAGCUGUGCAGAUAUACUCUAUAGAUUAUUCUGGGUGAGUAACGGUUCUCAUAAUUGUGUGACUAAGUACGGAAGUGUACAAAUGCAGAGAAUAAUGAGAAUGUCGUCAAAAGGUUAUGCAUGUCUUAAUCUCUGGAACAAAUUGUAGUUGUUGAAUAAAAGGACACAGGAAAUUGGGGAAGAUACCCAGGAAACAUUGGUACCUUUCAAAUGACUGUUCAUGCUUUGUACACUUUCCAUUGCGCUGCAGCUAUUUUUCAAUGUAUGAUGACCCUUCUUGGAUUAGGAUGCAGUUUUGUAUUUUCUGUUCAUCUAAGAUGAGGGGCUGGAAGUCCUUAAAUACUGCAUGAGAUCUAACAGAAGAAGCCUAAAGAAAAUUAGGAGAGGGAGAGAAAUGGUGCCUUCUGUAUUGAAGCUUGUCCUGCUAUCUUUGCUGCCUUGUGUUUCUUACUCCAUCAAUGUUACACUUGGAUGUUGGGAAGAUGUUACUGAAUUCCUUUCUGACCUGAAUGCUGACAAACCUAAAGCAUAUGCCAUAAAGAUGUAUGAUUCUAUUGGAAAACCCAGCAGCAAUGUUCUUGGUGGAAAUACGGACAGACUGGGAUCAUAUACUGAGUGCAUUUCCACUGAAGCUCCUUCUGGAAAAUUCCAAGGGCAGUAUUGCAAACUCCAAGUACUACAGGUUUGUUAGCAUUUUCUUCAUCAUCUUGCCACUCGCUGGGACUAUUUACGUUGCUGAUGGAUGGAAGAAAGUUAGGCACGAUGAAUUGCCAUCAGAGAGUUUGCUUUCUGCAAAUCAUGAAAGCCCAUCUUCAACUGAAAAAGCUAGAAGAAAACUAAAAGCAGAAGAAAAAAAUAAUCACGAUGAUUCAAAACAAAGGACCUUGGAUUUUAUCCUGAAAUGUUUUUCCUUGCAAAAAAAUCUACCAGCCCUUUGGGUGAUAAAACCUUCUCAAGACCUUUCCUUGGCUCUAAAUGGCAUCAGAACUCUGAGUCUUUUGUGGAUAAUUUCUGGACAUACGAGUCAGAUGACAGCAUGGCAGAACUUAGAUAAUGAGUUGGAGUGGGAAGCAAAAGUCCUAAAAAAUCCUGUCUACAUAUAUUCUCUCAGUGGACCAUUUUACUUAGGUGUGGACACAUUUUUCCUCAUUAGUGGCUUACUGAGCUCCUGGUCUUUCAUAAAUCUGUUGAAUUGCUCAGGAGAAAAUCUGGGUUUCCACAUCAUACUGAAAUACCUUUGGAGCCGACUUGUCCGGCUUCAGCCACUCCAUAUGUAUUCUGUGUGUCUUUUAGUUGGGUUGUAUUCCAUUAUUCCUUGGGGACCAUUAUGGGAAUACUCAAAACUUGAGGUGGAUAACUGUAGAAAUACGUGGUGGAGUAACAUAUUUCUGAUCAACAAUUUCAUCGCUGGAUCUGAAUCUUGCAAUGGGUGGACCUGGUACCUUGCAAAUGAUUUCCAGUUCCAUUUCACAACGCCUCUGCUGGUCUUUUUCUCCACCCAAAGGAAACACUGGCUGAUCAUCUCAGUUACCUUCCUGUUUCUGGCAACUUUCACAGUUACAGCCCUUCUUUCAUCAGUUUAUAGACUUCCUGUUGCAAAUCCACAUGAUAUGAGGAAAACAUCUACUGUGAUGUAUUUCAUGGAGUAUUAUUCAAAACCUUAUUGCCGAUAUGGUCCAUUUCUAGUUGGCAUCAUUCUAGGGCUCUUCAUCUACCAUCAGAAAAUGCCAGUUUUAAGAACAAAGAUGCAGGCUUUCAUAGGUUGGCUUUGUGCAAUGUUUUCUAUGUUCAUAGUAGUUCUGUUGGCCUAUGCACUAGAUGGCACCUCCAAGUAUUAUUCACCUGCCCAUGCUUUAUACCAAGCCAUUCACAGGACAGUUUGGGCAGCUGCUGUGGGAUGGAUCAUUUUUGCAUGCAAAGAAGGCUAUGGAGGUUUCAUUAAUGGGAUGCUUUCAUGGGGCAUUUGGACUGUGGCUGCAAAGAUAAGCUAUGCCUGCUAUUUGGUGCAUCCAAUGUUAAUUCUAUUGUAUAACGGGCUUCAAGAAACAUUUAUACAUUAUUCAGAUAUCAAUAUGUUCUACCUUUUCCUUGGACAUUGCCUACUGACAUUUGUGGUUGGAUUGGCAUUGACAGUGAUGGUUGAGAUGCCUCUUCGAGAAUUAAAGUGGUCUUUGGCUUGCAAGCACCAAGAGGUUCCGUUGUGAAGGACCAAAUGCAACAGCUUUUAAAAACCUCUUGUAAUGUCAUGAUUCCAGAGCUCUGAUCUACUCAGUUCCCAGCCAAGAUUCAAGGAUCUGUCAGAAAUGGAACAGUAUGACAGGUGCUCCAAAAUAACAGUUGAUUGAUUACAUGAAGAAGGAUGCAAGAAUAAAAUGCAAGGCAAAGGCACAGUUGGUUAACCUCCAGUUCUUCAUCCCAGCUGUUCAUCAGGGUCCCACAAUGAAGACCUAAAUGACUGUUGUGGAAUAAUGGCUUAGUGCAAAUAAAGUCCUUCCACUGUCUUGGUUAAGAAGGACUGUGUGAUACAAAGGUCCAAACGGUGCUCUUCACUUCUUCAUUUUUCCCGAUCUUCCCAUUUACAGUUCUUUCAUUGGCUUUGGAAAUGGAUACAGCUGAGAAAAGCACCUAUGCAAGUGCCAGGGUCCAACUUCUGACCACAUGCUCUCCAUUUAUGGGUUAUACAGAAAUGUUCUGGCCAAACAAAAAGUGAUAUGUCAUUUGUAGUUCUUAUUUGGUCCGGUCAUCAGCUGCUUUUGCAGUAAUUUCAUGGGUAUGUGUGUGUGUGUUUUGAAGGGGCAAACAAGUGGGGGCGGUACGGGAUGGCUUUCAGGUGUUUGGGUGCAUCUGGGCCUUAGGAGAGGAAAGAUCCAGGGGCUUUGGAAAAUGAAAAUAACCGUUUCUAUAUUUCCUAUACCCGUACUAACUAUUCCCUUUUCCCUUCCCUUGUGCAAAGGCAUUUUCCCAAAUCCCCUCCAUAUAUUCAACUUACAUUGAUUGGGGCCAGAGACUCCAGGCAAUGAGCUGUCAAGAAUAUAGAAUCUUAGUUCUAGCUUUGUGUGGUCUGUUAUUCUCUAACUGGGGGAAGUUUAUGCUGAGUAUAAUAACAUUCAGUUUUAUUUACACUGAAAGACAAUGGUUUAGACAUUAUUUCCCUCUGCUAUGUCUGGCUUGAUCAAUAAAUUGCAUUCUCAGUGCAUAUGUAUAUGAAAUACACAAUGGACUGUUAUGCCAUGUGGUUUAGUUUUAAGAGCAAGCAGCAAUAAACCUUGGCUUCAUGUGCUCCAUGGCGUGGAAGAAACUGGAAAUGUAAAUAUUACAUAUCAUGUACGGUAUUACAUUAAUACACCUCCUUUCAAGA